AUUGAACGCUGGCGGCAGGCCUAACACAUGCAAGUCGAGCGGAGCGGCGGACGGGUGAGUAAUGUCUGGGAAACUGCCUGAUGGAGGGGGAUAACUACUGGAAACGGGCGCUAAUACCGCAUACUAUCAGAUGAGCCUAGGUCGGAUUAGCUAGUGGGUGGGGUAAAGGCCUACCAAGGCGACGAUCCGUAACUGGUCUGAGAGGAUGAUCAGUCAAACUGGAACGUAGACAUGGGCCAGAAUCCUGCGGGAGGCAGCAGUGGGGAAGAGUGGACAAUGGGCGAAGGCAUGAGCCAGCCAUGCGGCGUGUGUGAAGAAGGUCUUCGGAUUGUAAAGCACUUUGAGUUGGGAGGCGUUACCAACAGAAUAAGCACCGGCUAACUUCGUGCCAGCAGCCGCGGUAAUAC
rnacentral:rRNA from 1 species